rnacentral:rRNA from 1 species
AAUGAGAGUUUGAUCCUGGCUCAGGACGAACGCUGGCGGCGUGCCUAAUACAUGCAAGUAGAACGCUGAAGAGAGGAGCUUGCUCUUCUUGGAUGAGUUGCGAACGGGUGAGUAACGCGUAGGUAACCUGCCUUGUAGCGGGGGAUAACUAUUGGAAACGAUAGCUAAUACCGCAUAACAAUGGAUGACCCAUGUCAUUUAUUUGAAAGGGGCAAAUGCUCCACUACAAGAUGGACCUGCGUUGUAUUAGCUAGUAGGUGAGGUAACGGCUCACCUAGGCGACGAUACAUAGCCGACCUGAGAGGGUGAUCGGCCACACUGGGACUGAGACACGGCCCAGACUCCUACGGGAGGCAGCAGUAGGGAAUCUUCGGCAAUGGGGGCAACCCUGACCGAGCAACGCCGCGUGAGUGAAGAAGGUUUUCGGAUCGUAAAGCUCUGUUGUAAGUCAAGAACGAGUGUGAGAGUGGAAAGUUCACACUGUGACGGUAGCUUACCAGAAAGGGACGGCUAACUACGUGCCAGCAGCCGCGGUAAUACGUAGGUCCCGAGCGUUGUCCGGAUUUAUUGGGCGUAAAGCGAGCGCAGGCGGUUUGAUAAGUCUGAAGUUAAAGGCUGUGGCUCAACCAUAGUUCGCUUUGGAAACUGUCAAACUUGAGUGCAGAAGGGGAGAGUGGAAUUCCAUGUGUAGCGGUGAAAUGCGUAGAUAUAUGGAGGAACACCGGUGGCGAAAGCGGCUCUCUGGUCUGUAACUGACGCUGAGGCUCGAAAGCGUGGGGAGCGAACAGGAUUAGAUACCCUGGUAGUCCACGCCGUAAACGAUGAGUGCUAGGUGUUGGAUCCUUUCCGGGAUUCAGUGCCGCAGCUAACGCAUUAAGCACUCCGCCUGGGGAGUACGACCGCAAGGUUGAAACUCAAAGGAAUUGACGGGGGCCCGCACAAGCGGUGGAGCAUGUGGUUUAAUUCGAAGCAACGCGAAGAACCUUACCAGGUCUUGACAUCCCGAUGCUAUUUCUAGAGAUAGAAAGUUACUUCGGUACAUCGGUGACAGGUGGUGCAUGGUUGUCGUCAGCUCGUGUCGUGAGAUGUUGGGUUAAGUCCCGCAACGAGCGCAACCCCUAUUGUUAGUUGCCAUCAUUCAGUUGGGCACUCUAGCGAGACUGCCGGUAAUAAACCGGAGGAAGGUGGGGAUGACGUCAAAUCAUCAUGCCCCUUAUGACCUGGGCUACACACGUGCUACAAUGGUUGGUACAACGAGUUGCGAGUCGGUGACGGCAAGCUAAUCUCUUAAAGCCAAUCUCAGUUCGGAUUGUAGGCUGCAACUCGCCUACAUGAAGUCGGAAUCGCUAGUAAUCGCGGAUCAGCACGCCGCGGUGAAUACGUUCCCGGGCCUUGUACACACCGCCCGUCACACCACGAGAGUUUGUAACACCCGAAGUCGGUGAGGUAACCUUUUGGAGCCAGCCGCCUAAGGUGGGAUAGAUGAUUGGGGUGAAGUCGUAACAAGGUAGCCGUAUCGGAAGGUGCGGCUGGAUCACCUCCUUU